rnacentral:rRNA from 1 species
GACGAACGCUGGCGGCGUGCCUAAUACAUGCAAGUUGAGCGAUGAAGAUUGGUGCUUGCACCAAUUUGCAGAGCAGCGAACGGGUGAGUAACGCGUGGGGAAUCUGCCUUUGAGCGGGGGACAACAUUUGGAAACGAAUGCUAAUACCGCAUAACAACUUUAAACAUAAGUUUUAAGUUUGAAAGAUGCAAUUGCAUCACUCAAAGAUGAUCCCGCGUUGUAUUAGCUAGUUGGUGAGGUAAAGGCUCACCAAGGCGAUGAUACAUAGCCGACCUGAGAGGGUGAUCGGCCACAAUGGGACUGGGACACGGCCCAAACUCCUUCGGGAGGCAGCAGGAGGGAAGCUUCGGCAAAGGGCGAAAGGCUGACCGAGGAACGCCGCGGGAGUGAAGAAGGGUUUCGGAUCGUAAAACUCUGUUGGUAGAGAAGAACGUUGGUGAGAGUGGAAAGCUCAUCAAGUGACGGUAACUACCCAGAAAGGGACGGCUAACUACGUG